UACGAAGGUCCCGAGCGUUGUUCGGAAUCACUGGGCGUAAAGGGAGCGUAGGCGGCGCGGUAAGUCAGAUGUGAAAUCCCGGGGCUCAACCCCGGAACUGCAUCCGAUACUGCCGUACUAGAGGAUUGGAGAGGUAGCUGGAAUUCUUGGUGUAGCAGUGAAAUGCGUGGAGAUCAAGAGGAACACUCGUGGCGAAAGCGAGCUACUGGACAAUAUCUGACGCUGAGGCUCGAAGGCCAGGGUAGCGAAAGGG
rnacentral:rRNA from 1 species